GGGUUGUGAGGUUAAGCGACCAAGCGUACACGGUGGAUGCCCUGGCAGUCAGAGGCGAUGAAGGACGUGCUAAUCUGCGAAAAGCGCCGGUAAGGUGAUAUGAACCGUUAUAACCGGCGAUGUCCGAAUGGGGAAACCCAGUGUGACUCGUCACACUAUCAUUAACUGAAUCCAUAGGUUAAUGAGGCGAACCGGGGGAACUGAAACAUCUAAGUACCCCGAGGAAAAGAAAUCAACCGAGAUUCCCCCAGUAGCGGCGAGCGAACGGGGAGGAGCCCAGAGCCUGAAUCAGCAUGUGUGUUAGUGGAAGCGUCUGGAAAGGCGCGCGAUACAGGGUGAGAGCCCCGUACACAAAAGCGCACGUGCUGUGAGCUCGAUGAGUAGGGCGGGACACGUGGUAUCCUGUCUGAAUAUGGGGGGACCAUCCUCCAAGGCUAAAUACUCCUGACUGACCGAUAGUGAACCAGUACCGUGAGGGAAAGGCGAAAAGAACCCCGGCGAGGGGAGUGAAACAGAACCUGAAACCGUGUACGUACAAGCAGUGGGAGCCCCACCACUAAGCCAGUGGUGAACUCCACAUACGCA
rnacentral:rRNA from 1 species